AAGUGCAAGUUCUGCAGGGAACUUACAGACAGAUUUCUUUUAGAAAAAAUAAAUGUCAUACUUAGAUUUGAAUUUGAGUCAUCUAUUUUAUUUUUCUUGAAUUUAAAGUCACAUUCCUAGAAUAUACAUUUUGAACUUGUUUGGGAGAGGAGGGAACUUAUUUACUUUUUAGUGGCUCUUUGGCUAAGAGCGGGACUGAUGAAAUCACCUCUAAAAUGCCCUUUGUUUCAGAUAUUCUUAUCGCCCUCACAUGAGGUGACUUCCCCAUGUAAGCUAUAACUGAGAUAAAAUUAAGCUGAUAAUCUAAUGCUAUCGUCUGACUCAAGGCUCGUGAUUUGUAAGGGAAGCUGAGUCAAAUGACCUAUGCAGGGAUGAUUAAAUGAUCCUAGGUAGCUGUUUUGCUAUGGCUUUUUGCUCGAACUUUCCCACUAGUGAAAGUAAAGGCCCAGUUUCCCCACAGACUGAUUCUCACUAAGACUCAUGCCCAGAAAUAGUUACCCUAGUACAAUUUGUUAUUCAGAAUAAUCUGGAAACCACCUAAAUGUCUAUUAAUUGGAGAUGGGUAAAUCACAGUUUAGCUAUACAACAGAAUGCUAUGCAGUGAUUGAAAAUAUUUUUAUAGGAGGAUAUUUUUUGGAAAAUAUAAUACAAUAUUAAGUGAAAAAAACUGGGUGAACUAUAACAGUAUGACUUCCAUUUUUAAAAUUACAUAAACAUAUGUAUGCAUAUAUAAUGCAUAUAUUGAUGUGCAUAGUGAUGCAGGCAUUUAUUCAACAAGUGUAGAUUGCAUGCCUUUUAUAUAUCCAACACUGGGCUGGGGCUGAGGUUACAGAGAUGAGGAAGAUUUAUUUAAUCCCUGUCUCCCUUAUAGUCUAGCAUAGAAAGAGGCAUAACAGCAAAUACAACCAAUAUUAAUAAUAGCAUUUUUCUGGCUGGUGGGUAAUUUGAAUUUUCUUCUUUAUGUACUUCUGUAUUUUCUAGAUGUUCUACUAAAAGUAAAUGCCUUUUACAGGAAGAAAAAGACAACAAAUGUUAUUUUAAAAAUUGAGCAGAGCUGAAAACCUGCCCCCUGGCAUGAGACUCUGACCCUGAAACUGAAGGUCUCAGUUAUUCUCCUGUAUGAUGAUAGUUUGGCCCAGGUGAUUCUUAAGGUCCUUCCGGCUCUAAUGCUUAGGGCAUCUCACGGUAUUUGCAGACUUUAGAAGGGGAGAAGAUUUCCAUAGAAGCAAAUCUACAGGAAACUAACCAUCAGGUCUCCCAGAGACAAUCAAGGAACUGAAACUCACCAGAUCACUGCAUCUGCACAAGGAGAUGCUGGACCCCUCACCCAUCAUGACUGUUUAACCAACCACCUGCUUCUUGUUGACCAGCUCCUCUUCCUUAUCCUUUCCUAAUUCCCGUUUUCUUGCAUGUGAUUACAUUUCUUCCCUGCUAUAUAAAUCCCUGAUUUUAGUUGGUCAGGGAGAUGGAUUUGAGACUGACCUCUCAUCUCCUUGGCUGCAGCACCUGAUUAAAGCCUUCUUUCUUGGCAAUAAUGGCUGUCUCAGUGAUUGUCUUUCUGUGCAGUGAGCAAUAGGACCUAGAUUGAACUGCAGGCAUUUCAGUAACACAAGGGCUGUGGCCUGGGGCACAGGGUCCCAGGGGCCUGGGGUGAUGGAAAAUGCCCAGCCACCCCCUCCUCUUCAUCUUUGUUCUGUGUUCAGCCUUCAGUGUCCCAGAGGGGUGUUCAUUUGACUCUAAAAGGCAAUAGCACAGUGUAAAAUCUAUGUUAAUAUAGCAUUAUGCUCCGUGAAUCCCAGUGGAGGCCAUGGGGCCAGUGGGGAUGCUGUUAAUCUGCAUAAAUGUGUGUGUUCUAGAAAGAAUAAAUGGCAAGAGGAAAAGGAUUCUUUUUUUCAGGGCUGAGCAGGCAGGUGUUUAUUUGUUUCCGGUUUGUAGGCUCAGCAGGAUAGUUAUGGGAGAAUAAACUUGGAGAGGAGAAUCCCUAUUGUUCCCUUCAGAGGACACACCCAAGAAUACCUGUUGUGUUGUAAAUAGAUAGCAAGUCCUCCUCGUAUUUUUGUGUAUGUUUGUUUGUUUGUUUUGAGACAGGGUCUCCCUCUGUUGCCCAGGCUGGAGUGCAGUGGCACAAUCAUGGUUCUCUCCAGCCUCUACCUCCUGUGCUCAAGCAAUUCUCCCAUCUCAGCCUCCUGAGUAGCUGUGACAACAGGCAUGUGCCACCACGUUCAGCUAAUUUUGAAUUUUUUUUUAUAGAGAGAGGGUUUCACUAUGUUGUCCAGCUGGUCUUGAACUCCUGGCCUCAAGUGCUCCUCUUGCCUCAGCCUCCCAAAGUGUUGGGAUUACAGGUGUGAGCCACUGUACCCAGUCCUACUUGUGGGGCCUUUAAAGGUCACUCCAACACGACUGUGGAAGUUGCAUGUGGAGGCAUAGGAAGUUAAAGGAUUUAUUAUACUCUCAGCACCUAGAGAAGGAGGGGCCAUAGGGAAGGAGCUCCAAGGAGUGGCUCAACCAAGCAGGUGGGGAGGAGAAAGGGAGAGAGAGAGAGUGAGGACUCAUAGGCAAGUGCCUUUAUUGAGGGUUGGAAGAGUACCCCAUAAGAAAUGAGUGAUUUCAUUGAUGCUUUUGAAUGUCACUGGGUCAUAGUUAUGUGAGGGUGAGAAGAGGAACGUGGGGCCAGGACCAGCUUUGUCACCCUAAUGUACCUGGUCACCUGGGUGGGGUGUUCACAGCUAGUUUGUGGGGAUGUUGAGGCAUUGGGAAAAUAGAAAGUUUUAACAAUUUACAAUACACCCGUGUAUUCUGCCUUAAUGAAGUUGUGGUAGAAUUCUGCUGGCUGAACCUAAAUUUCUAUUUAAUAUAUCAACUGAUAAUUCUAGUAUCAGGUAAUAUGGGGAGUAUUUGUUGGUAAGGAUGCAGUUUGCAAAGCAGUGACUCUGUGCCCGGAUAUUGGCAGCCAUUAGGGAAAUGCAAAACUUUACCCUGGUUUUCAAAUGCCAUAAACUUCACCAGCACACUGCUACCCCGUGUGAAUAAGACCAAAGUGUCAGCAUCCUACCUACUCUCUCCGUGUGUGCUUUUAGAAUAUUCUUUGAAACUGGGAGCAACUUGGGUGAAGGCAGGCUAGACAUGGGGAGGUCAGAAUGUCUUUGAGAAUAGAGGCAAACUUCCAUAAUCCCUGAACCCUGCAAGAGGAAGGGAUUCAGGGGAGUGUCUUUCUGUCCUGAAUUUCAGGUGUGCAUGUCAUUCCUGGACAAAUGUUUACUGCCCUCUGGGAAAUUUCUGCCAUGUGCUGAGCUCAAGGAAGGUUUAUAUUUAUAUUUUUGGGUUUUUUUCCCCCUGUGAAUCCCUAAAUGCUUUUGUUGAACAGAAAGCACUCCUAAUACCUCCCCCUUUUUAAAGCUUAAAUUGUGUGAUUGUGUUUGGAAAUCAUCUCAGGAAAGCCUGUACAGGUCUGGAUAAAGGAUUACUAUAAAGCUUGUUAUUUAGAUGGAACUCAUGAAAAGGCUGAGACGGAUUGCUAAUUUAACUGUUCCACCUGAAUACACAACAGGCAAGUAACAACCACAGCAACAAUGACAAUAGUAAAAUCCACCACAUUAACAAACAUUUCUUUCUCCCUUGUUAUGUGCCAGGUGUUGUACUAAAAGCUUUGCAAACCUUAUUUCACUUAAUCCUUGAGACACAUCAAAUGGUUAUCUAGGCAAGGAGGCAGUGGAAGAGUCUCUUACCUCCACAUUUUUCAACUUCUUAGCCCAAAUGGCAGAAUUUAAGCCAUGUGCUAUGGUAAGGGGAAUAUAUAGGCCUGCUUGUCACUCUUUUCUCGAUGGAGGACAUCAUUUGAUUCUAUGGAAAGCCCACUGAAAUUGAUUUAUGCUUUCUGCCCUAAGAAAAGGACAAAUAGGCAUUCGAGGACUGGCCAUGUGUUCAAUAAUUUUGCUUUUUAGAGACAGUGGUCUCACUCUGUCAUCCAGGCUGGAGUGCAGUGGUGCAAUCAUAGCUCACUGCAGCCCUCACCUCCUCCCGCCUCAGCCUCCCAAGUAGCCAGGACCACAGGUGUGCACCACCACACCCAGCUAAUUUUUUUGUAGAGGUAGAGUCUUGCCAUGUUGCCCAGACUGGUCUCGAACUCUUGGGCUCAAGCACUCCUCCCACUUCAGGGCCUCCUGAAGUGCUGGGAUUACAGGUGUGGGCCACCACACCUGGCCUAAUUUCUUGAACGAUAUUUAUUAUGUGUUCCUUAUGCCAGAAUCUGUGUUUAGGUGCUGACACAUUGCUGCUAAUGCACUUAAUUUAGAGAUACUCUUGAACUUGCAGCACAAAUUGAGUGUUAACACCUUCAUCUAGGGCCGAGGAAAACAAUUCAUGCUUGAUGGAGUUUAAUGGUAAAAGUUAAAAGAUACAGGAAAGAAUGUGCAAAAUAGACUCAGAGCCCCCUUUCAUCCCUAAGAAUCUAUUGCUGGAGAUCUACUAAGAUCCUCCAAAGGAUGGAAUUCUCCUUGGGCAGAGUCUCUGAAGCAGAGCACAGAUUCCUGUAGAAGACUUGUGGGACAAAACAGCGGAUAUGUAGAUGUAUUCGUCAGCUCUCACACUGCUCUAAAGAAUACCUGAGACUGGGUAAUUUAUAAAGAAAAGAGGUUUAAUUGGCUCACAAUUCCACAGGCUGUACAGAAAGCAUGACGCUGGUAUCUGCUUGGCUUCUGGGGAGGCCUCAGGAAACUUACAUUCAUGGCAGAAGUUGAAGGGGAAGCUGGCACUUCACAUGGCUGAGCAGGAGGAAGAGAGGGAGCAGGGAGGUGCUACACACUUUUAAACAACCAGAUUUCAUGAGAACUCACUCACUAUCUUAUCUGUCUUA